rnacentral:rRNA from 1 species
GACGAACGCUGGCGGCGUGCCUAAUACAUGCAAGUUGAGCGCUGAAGGUUGGUACUUGUACCAACUGGAUGAGCAGCGAACGGGUGAGUAACGCGUGGGGAAUCUGCCUUUGAGCGGGGGACAACAUUUGGAAACGAAUGCUAAUACCGCAUAAAAACUUUAAACACAAGUUUUAAGUUUGAAAGAUGCAAUUGCAUCACUGAAAGAUGAUCCCGCGUUGUAUUAGCUGGUUGGUGAGGUAAAGGCUCACCAAGGCGAUGAUACAUAGCCAACCUGAGAGGGUGAGCGGCCACAUUGGGACUGAGACACGGCCCAAACGCCUACGGGAGGCAGCAGUAGGGAAUCUUCGGCAAUGGACGAAAGUCUGACCGAGCAACGCCGCGUGAGUGAAGAAGGUUUUCGGAUCGUAAAACUCUGUUGGUAGAGAAGAACGUUGGUGAGAGUGGAAAGCUCAUCAAGUGACGGUAACUACCCAGAAAGGGACGGCUAACUACGUG